rnacentral:rRNA from 1 species
GACGAACGCUGGCGGCGUGCCUAAUACAUGCAAGUUGAGCGCUGAAGGCUGGUACUUGUACCAACUGGAUGAGCAGCGAACGGGUGAGUAACGCGUGGGGAAUCUGCCUUUGAGCGGGGGACAACAUUUGGAAACGAAUGCUAAUACCGCAUAAAAACUUUAAACACAAGUUUUAAGUUUGAAAGAUGCAAUUGCAUCACUCAAAGAUGAUCCCGCGUUGUAUUAGCUAGUUGGUGAGGUAAAGGCUCACCAAGGCGAUGAUACAUAGCCGACCUGAGAGGGUGAUCGGCCACAUUGGGACUGAGACACGGCCCAAACGCCUACGGGAGGGAGCAGUAGGGAAACUUCGGCAAUGGACGAAAGUCUGACCGAGCAACGCCGCGUGAGGGAAGAAGGUUGUCGGAUCGUAAAAGUCUGUUGGUAGAGAAGAACGUUGGUGAGAGUGGAAAGCUCAGCAAGUGACGGUAACUACCCAGAAAGGGACGGCUAACUACGUG